AGCACUAGUGGCCAAUCCUCCUGGAUAAUCUUCAUGUUUAGUAAAUAGAUGGAUAUCUUUCUCUUAGACAUCGAUACAAUCCUCCAGAAUGCCAGUUGUCUUCUCUGCUUGUCACAGAGUACUCAAGGAGGUUUGUAGAAGGUUGCCGGGUUUUUCACCCGCUGAAGUGUUGGAUUUUGGUGCUGGCAUGGGUUUGGCUUUCUGGGCACUAUGAGAAGUCUGGCCGAAUUCCUUGGAGAAAGUUAACUUAGUAGAGUCAUCACAAUCAAUGCAGCGUGCAGGCCAGAGCCUUAUACAAGGUACACCUUUUGUGGGCUGGCAACAAUGAUUCUGAUCAAUGAGGUCAAUUGUUUGGACUUGCCUAGACUAAUUGAUUGGUUGGUAUUUCGACAAGGGAAGGAAUGUGGAUUUCAGGGGAGGACUAAUAAGUUAGUUGAUGGUUGCUACUCUUUCUGGCAGGGAAGUGCAUUUGCAUUAUUACAAAGAAUACCUUCAGUUAGUGAGGAGCAAAUUGUGCUACCGGAUGUGGGACACUGCAUUUUGGAUACCUCACACACUUCUACAACAUCUCGUAUAUCUGAAGUGGACAACAGUUCUGAAGGUACUUCA